CGCUGGCGGCGUGCCUAAUACAUGCAAGUCGAGCGAACAGACGAGGAGCUUGCUCCUCUGACGUUAGCGGCGGACGGGUGAGUAACACGUGGAUAACCUACCUAUAAGACUGGGAUAACUUCGGGAAACCGGAGCUAAUACCGGAUAAUAUAUUGAACCGCAUGGUUCAAUAGUGAAAGACGGUUUUGCUGUCACUUAUAGAUGGAUCCGCGCCGCAUUAGCUAGUUGGUAAGGUAACGGCUUACCAAGGCAACGAUGCGUAGCCGACCUGAGAGGGUGAUCGGCCACACUGGAACUGAGACACGGUCCAGACUCCUACGGGAGGCAGCAGUAGGGAAUCUUCCGCAAUGGGCGAAAGCCUGACGGAGCAACGCCGCGUGAGUGAUGAAGGUCUUCGGAUCGUAAAACUCUGUUAUUAGGGAAGAACAAAUGUGUAAGUAACUAUGCACGUCUUGACGGUACCUAAUCAGAAAGCCACGGCUAACUACGUGCCAGCAGCCGCGGUAAUACGUAGGUGGCAAGCGUUAUCCGGAAUUAUUGGGCGUAAAGCGCGCGUAGGCGGUUUUUUAAGUCUGAUGUGAAAGCCCACGGCUCAACCGUGGAGGGUCAUUGGAAACUGGAAAACUUGAGUGCAGAAGAGGAAAGUGGAAUUCCAUGUGUAGCGGUGAAAUGCGCAGAGAUAUGGAGGAACACCAGUGGCGAAGGCGACUUUCUGGUCUGUAACUGACGCUGAUGUGCGAAAGCGUGGGGAUCAAACAGGAUUAGAUACCCUGGUAGUCCACGCCGUAAACGAUGAGUGCUAAGUGUUAGGGGGUUUCCGCCCCUUAGUGCUGCAGCUAACGCAUUAAGCACUCCGCCUGGGGAGUACGACCGCAAGGU
rnacentral:rRNA from 1 species